AAAAAAAAAAACUUGAGAGGGAGCUCCAAGAAGAUGACACAGCUCAAAAUAAAAAUUAGGUAUAUUCUCGUAAAGUCAAGUGAGCCAUGACAUAUGAGCUCUUAUUGUGAGCACACAGGACGGUGGCAUCUUUCUAAGGUUUUUUUAUUUUCCCAGCAAUCAGUACAACCAAGUCAUCGUUAUAAGGCAUCGCCCUCUUUUGCCCACCCCCCAGCACCAGGUGUGGCCACUAGCCUAUAUGAAGGCCCAAAAUUGUGUGUUCCUUUCUGCUCUGACAAUGGCAUGCCCAUUCGUGCGAGAUGUGGUGGAUGAAGAAGCACUUGUGCUGAGGAGAGCCUUCAGGCGAGAAAGGGUCUUCAGGGACCGGUUGGACCCACUGGCCUUCCCUGAUGACCAUCUAUAUGAAAGAUACAGGUUUUCUGCAGAUGGCAUCAGGUAUCUAUGCAGACUACUGGGUCCCAGGAUUAAGCACCGCACUGCACGGAGCCAUGCACUGAGUGUGGAGCAAAUGGUUUGUGUGGCCUUGCGCUUUUUGCUAGUGGAGCCUUCCUGUACUCAGUGGGGGAUGCAGAACAGCUGAACAAGGCCACAAUUUGCCGCACAAUAAGGAGUGUGUGUCUGGCUAUCAAAGCAUUAGCAGAUGUCUUCAUCUCCUUCCCUGGCCACAGAAGACUCUGUGACAUCAAAGAGGAGUUCUAUAGGAUUGCAGAUGGUCUGCAAUGCUGACUGUGUGAUCAGCAAUGUUGUGGCAAAAUGGCCUGGCUCAGUCCAUGACUCCAGAAUCUUUCGGGCCUCUGAAAUCUAUCAGUGCCUAUCACAAGGUGAAUUCUCUGGUGUGUUGCUGGGAGACAGGGGUAUGGCUGCCAGC